CUUCCUCGAGGAGGAAACAGUUGUCGUCUUCUUUGAAAUUUCCGAACACUCCAUUAGGAUUUCUUCUUCGGCAGAUGUCCAACGUGAGGAUAAAACUGAUGAGCAAGCGGGGCUGGAACAGCUGGACAUGAAUGAGCAAUUGUUAUCUUCACGAUUAGGAUCAUUAUCACUUAAUACAGGAAUUGUAUCGUCAUCGCUUUCUUCAUUGGCAACGUAAAACUUCCAGGAUCUAAUUAUGAAAACAAAUGAUUUAUGAAGUGGAAAGAGGUUCAUGUUCAGUUUCCGUAAUCCCA